rnacentral:tRNA from 2 species
CCUCUGUAGUUCAGUCGGUAGAACGGCGGACUGUUAAUCCGUAUGUCACUGGUUCGAGUCCAGUCAGAGGUA